UACGGGGGGGGCAAGCGUUGUUCGGAAUUACUGGGCGUAAAGGGCUCGUAGGCGGCCAACUAAGUCAGACGUGAAAUCCCUCGGCUUAACCGGGGAACUGCGUCUGAUACUGGAUGGCUAGAGUGUGGCAGAGGGGGGUGGAAUUCCACGUGUAGCAGUGAAAUGCGUAGAGAUGUGGAGGAACACCGAUGGCGAAGGCAGCCCCCUGGGUUAACACUGACGCUCAGGCACGAAAGCGUGGGGAGCAAACAGG
rnacentral:rRNA from 1 species